rnacentral:rRNA from 1 species
GGAGGAAAGCAGGGGAUCGCAAGACCUUGCGCUUUUGGAGUGGCCGAUGCCUGAUUAGCUAGUUGGUGGGGUAAUGGCCUACCAAGGCGACGAUCAGUAGUUGGUCUGAGAGGACGACCAGCCACACUGGGACUGAGACACGGCCCAGACUCCUACGGGAGGCAGCAGUGGGGAAUUUUGGACAAUGGGCGAAAGCCUGAUCCAGCAAUGCCGCGUGAGUGAAGAAGGCCUUCGGGUUGUAAAGCUCUUUCAGUCGAGAAGAAAAGGUUGUGACUAAUAAUCACAACUCAUGACGGUAUCGACAGAAGAAGCACCGGCUAACUACGUGCCAGCAGCCGCGGUAAUACGUAGGGUGCGAGCGUUAAUCGGAAUUACUGGGCGUAAAGGGUGCGCAGGCGGCUUUGUAAGUCAGAUGUGAAAUCCCCGGGCUUAACCUGGGAA